AAAAUAACCGUUGGUUGAGGAGAGUAAAGGCAUUUACUCCUGAACACAGCACAAAGGCUAGAAGUGCUCCUCUAUUCGGGCCUCUCUUCGCCAUUUUCAUCUGCCAACAGACGGGAAAGACAGCUGCAAUCAAACCCAGCUUGCAGAGACGUCCGGCAAACAAGAUCCUUGACUGAAGUUUUGAAUCUAUCGGACGCAUUUCACCCUGCCGCGGUCGACGCUUCCAACACCCAAACGGAAUUUCUUGCUCCGAGCCCAUUCCACUUUCUCCCUAUCUACAGCGGCAGGUACAAUUCCCUCGAUUUUCUGGAUUUAGCUGCAAUUUACAUUCCAUAAACCUGCGUUGAUCUGUCUUUCUAGUUGUCCACGGCUUCAUCAGCUGAUUAUCUCCCUUGGACACCUGAUUUUGUGUUGGCUGUGUGCGAAGAGUAGAUUUCGUUUAUGGUAGAUUAAAAUGUACUUAGGAUUAAUUGAACCCGAAUCUGAAUGAAUGGUGGAAUAAAGCUGCUCUGGCCUUUCAAAUUGGGAGGUUAUGAGCAUUAAAACUGGAUUAACUGGAUAUAUUGCAAGCAGGGAGAUUUAUUGUCUUUGGGCUUUUUUCUUAUCAUGGAAAGAAAAUUUAAUGGGGAA
rnacentral:lncRNA from 1 species